rnacentral:rRNA from 1 species
AGUUGAUCAUGGCUCAGAACGAACGCUGGCGGCAGGCUUAACACAUGCAAGUCGAACGGUUGUAGCAAUACAGCAGUGGCAGACGGGUGAGUAACACGUGGGAACCUUCCUAGGGGUACGGAACAACUCAGGGAAACUUGAGCUAAUACCGUAUACGUCCGUGAGGAGAAAGAUUUAUCGCCCUUAGACGGGCCCGCGUCGGAUUAGCUAGUUGUGGGGUAACGGCCUACCAAGGCGACGAUCCGUAGCUGAUCUUAGAGGAUGAUCAGCCACACUGGGACUGAGACACGGCCCAGACUCCUACGGGAGGCAGCAGUGGGGAAUCUUGGACAAUGGGCGCAAGCCUGAUCCAGCCAUGCCGCGUGAGUGAAGAAGGUCUUCGGAUUGUAAAGCUCUUUUGCCAGGGACGAUAAUGACGGUACCUGGAGAAUAAGCCCCGGCAAACUUCGUG